UUUCUGGUCUGCAAGGGAAAUCCCUGGAUGAGAUUGCACUUGAAGGUGAAAUUGCGUUAAGUGAUGCUGAGGCCGAGGAUAGUCAGAGGGAGUCAGAUGACAACGGCACAACAUUCACAUCACACUGUGGAAAUAUCAAGCCUGUGGAUGCUGCAUCUGUUUCUGCAUUAGCAGAGGAGGCUCAUGACACUGAAGGUUUUGGAAACGAUGCUGCUCAACAACGGGAUUCCAGAAGAAUAACAAAGAGAACGUGGUCUAAGGCUGAAGUUGCUGCAGUAAUGCGACAUUUCAGAGAUCACAUAUGUAAAGGAAAAUUGGCCACCAAAAAUGAAUGCAGUCACUGCAAGCUGGUAGAAGACCCUGUGUUAGCCCAGAGAACAGUGCAAAAUAUCAGAGACUUUGUGAGAAAUCGAGGAACAGCUGCAAAGAGGCAGCCACAGAAGCAUAAGCUUUAAGUUCAUUUGCAGUUAUUCUCUUGUGUUGUA